rnacentral:rRNA from 1 species
AGGCCUAACACAUGCAAGUCGAGCGGAUGACGGGAGCUUGCUCCUUGAUUCAGCGGCGGACGGGUGAGUAAUGCCUAUGAAUCUGCCUGGUAGUGGGGGACAACGUUUCGAAAGGAACGCUAAUACCGCAUACGUCCUACGGGAGAAAGCAGGGGACCUUCGGGCCUUGCGCUAUCAGAUGAGCCUAGGUCGGAUUAGCUAGUUGGUGGGGUAAUGGCUCACCAAGGCGACGAUCCGUAACUGGUCUGAGAGGAUGAUCAGUCACACUGGAACUGAGACACGGUCCAGACUCCUACGGGAGGCAGCAGUGGGGAAUAUUGGACAAUGGGCGAAAGCCUGAUCCAGCCAUGCCGCGUGUGUGAAGAAGGUCUUCGGAUUGUAAAGCACUUUAAGUUGGGAGGAAGGGCAGUAAGUUAAUACCUUGCUGUUUU